rnacentral:rRNA from 1 species
AACGAACGCUGGCGGCAUGCCUAACACAUGCAAGUCGAACGAAGGCUUCGGCCUUAGUGGCGCACGGGUGCGUAACGCGUGGGAAUCUGCCCUUUGGUUCGGAAUAACAGCUGGAAACGGCUGCUAAUACCGGAUGAUGACGAAAGCCCAAAGAUUUAUCGCCAAUGGAUGAGCCCGCGUUGGAUUAGGUAGUUGGUGGGGUAAAGGCCUACCAAGCCGACGAUCCAUAGCUGGUCUGAGAGGUUGAUCAGCCACACUGUGACUGAGACACGGCCCAGACUCCUACGGGAGGCAGCAGUAUGGAAUAUUGGACAUCGGGCGCAAGCCUGAUCCAGCAAUGCCGCGUGAGUGAUGAUGGCCCUAGGGUUGUAAAGCUCUUUUACCCGGGAAGAUAAUGACUGUACCGGGAGAAUAAGCCCCGGCUAACUCCGUG